UAGGGAAUCUUCCGCAAUGGGCGAAAGCCUGACGGAGCAACGCCGCGUGAGUGAUGAAGGUCUUCGGAUCGUAAAACUCUGUUAUUAGGGAAGAACAAAUGUGUAAGUAACUAUGCACAUCUUGACGGUACCUAAUCAGAAAGCCACGGCUAACUACGUGCCAGCAGCCGCGGUAAUACGUAGGUGGCAAGCGUUAUCCGGAAUUAUUGGGCGUAAAGCGCGCGUAGGCGGUUUUUUAAGUCUGAUGUGAAAGCCCACGGCUCAACCGUGGAGGGUCAUUGGAAACUGGAAAACUUGAGUGCAGAAGAGGAAAGUGGAAUUCCAUGUGUAGCGGUGAAAUGCGCAGAGAUAUGGAGGAACACCAGUGGCGAAGGCGACUUUCUGGUCUGUAACUGACGCUGAGGUUCGAAAGCGUGGGUAGCAAACAGG
rnacentral:rRNA from 1 species